rnacentral:lncRNA from 9 species
CCCAUUUGGAUGUUGCUCCAGGUGGUUUUUCUUCGGUGGGCUUUGUGUGAAAAGAGUCUGUCUUCAAUCCAGGAGUGUUUCAUUCCUGAAAGUGAAAGGCCUGGUUGUAAGGUGGUCCACAGGCUGGAGAAGCCCAAGGGAAGAAGGAUGCUGAGUUACGAUGGGUGGUCCUGAUGGUGCAAAGGCAGGGAAUGGACCGAGUAUCCAGGGUGAAUUUCCUGGCCGGAGAGGAGACGAUAACAAGGCAUCUGCCUGGAAGGGCUCUCCAGGCUAGACGCUAUCAAGUACAUCCUCUGGUUGGAGCCUCCAGGAGCUGCCUUUCCUCCUCCCUCCUCUCCGCACCUCUCCGCAGUUUAACCUCCCCAGUCAAAGCGCGGAUCGAUGUCACGGUGACAGAUCUUUUUCCUACCGUGAUAGUGUCUGUAAAUCAAAGCCCAUCAGGGUAGACCAGAAGCUCUGACGACACCACAUCAUCCUUUGCAAUUCCACCCGUGUCAAAGAACAAUAAGCAUGACUUUGGAGGAAAAUGUUUUUUGGAAAUAAAUUGAGG